rnacentral:misc_RNA from 1 species
GAGCCUGCCAAGGCAACAAGCAAUCGCUGAUAUAACAAUAAUCACAGCAAGAACUAUAAAAACAGUACCAAAUGAUCCAUUUGAGUGGGAGUGGGAAGCUGGUGGUGGCUGCCCAGAAACGGUGUUGGGGUAAACCACAACAGGUUGUUGCUGUGGUUGUGUGGACAUUUUUUCUUGUUCUUCUUUUGGUUGGUUGGAGAAGAGAUGGAGGGGUUUGGAUUUAGUAUAUGAAUCUGGAGGUGUUGUUCUUUGAGUGCAGACUAAGGGAGACUAAUUAAGGUGGAUUCAAGUCACAAGCAAGAAAUUGCCCUGA